rnacentral:tRNA from 1 species
UAGAGUGGCCGAGCGGUCCAAGGCGCCAGACUUAAGAUCUGGUGACUAACAUCUCGUGGGUUCGAAUUAAAGUCCCAAAAAGAUAAAAA